rnacentral:lncRNA from 1 species
CUCAGUUAUAACCCCAACCGAAGAUUUUAAUGUAAUGUUAUGAUUAGAUCACAUAAGACAUCAAUCUUAUAUAUCUAUAUAUAACAAAAGGAUAGAUUCUAUAUUGCGUAUGCAUGUACCUUCGUAUGUGAACAAACUAUAACUAUCAAGUACAGAGACGGUCUAACGAAUCAUCAAAAUGUGCACUUGUAAACCACAGCCAACGCAAGGAAUAAGCAUAACGCAGAAAUUAAAGUAAAGAACCUGCUCGGAGAGAUUUCCACCCAUCAGAAGGAAUGCCAUUUCUAACUCCUUCGAAUUACCGAACGACAGGGAAAACAAGAAACGUCAUUAAAAUUCCUCCCCCCGGUGUGCAGACCCCCAUCUCGCAAGCUAUUCCAAUUCGAAAUCCGUGGCUCCCAAGCUAGACAUCAGCAUAAAUCCUCGCUGAUCAUUCGCUCCAUCAUGCAACAAACCCGCCCUUUAAUUGCCCUCGACCUGCUCUCCCUGCUGCUGGGUCUGAAUAAUCGGACAAGAACAAGGACGGGUUUGAGUUUCGCCAAGAACAUAUCAUUCUUGCUCAUUCGUCAGUCGUAAUUCAAAGAGAGAGGCGGGGAGAAUGGGGAAAGAGAAAGUGGGUCUGGUGGCGUUAGUGAUAAUUGUGUCGAGCUGGUGUGUUACCUCCUCCUCCUACUCCUCUUCUUCUUCUUUCAGAGGUGAUCUGAGCAGAGGCAAAGCGCCUUCAACUUUCGGGUCGGUAUCGUCGUCGCUGGUUCUCAACCGGGUCGGGUCAUCCGUUGUCCUUCCACUCCACGGCAAUGUUUACCCAACUGGGUACACUUCUUGACCUGUCUUCACUUCAGUUCAGCGUUUCAUUUAUCAGUCAGAGAGAAAGAGAGAGAGAGAGAGAGAGAGAGAGUGGUGAUGGACCUGCAUUUUGGCUUCUUCAAUGAAUUCUUGAAUACCCGUGUGACUCU